rnacentral:rRNA from 1 species
UAAUACAGAGGGGGCAAGCGUUGUUCGGAAUUACUGGGCGUAAAGGGCGCGUAGGCGGCCCUCUAAGUCAGACGUGAAAUCCCUCGGCUCAACCGGGGAACUGCGUCUGAGACUGGAAGGCUUGAAUUCGGGAGAGGGAUGUGGAAUUCCAGGUGUAGCGGUGAAAUGCGUAGAUAUCUGGAGGAACACCGGUGGCGAAGGCGGCAUCCUGGACCGAUAUUGACGCUGGUGCGCGAAAGCCAGGGGAGCAAACGGG